CUCGGGAUACGAUCUGGAUACGAAAAUAUCCCAUCCCUCACCGAACGCUUCCCAUUCCCUCGACGUAUAUAAGGCGACCAGCCCUUUCUCUCAUCUUUUCACCUCCUGAUCUCCGAUCUGGGCGCAGUGCGCCGCCACGAGAUCGCCGGCGAACGGCCACCUAUACUACUGCGCCACCGCACCGGAGAGAGAUCAGCCCCCUCCGUCGUCGAACUGCAGGUAGCGGGCACGAUGAGGGAGGGCCGUCCGUCCAGCGAGAGGAGUUACUCGCCCCGACCGUCAAACGGUGUCGGGGGGAGCCGGCGAGGGCGGAGAGGCUUGGUUCCCCACGAGCUGUUCGGCCAGUUCGCAAGUCUGGACGCCUUCGCCGCUGCGAAGCUCUCACGCCAACAAACAGCGUUUCCCGAGGAGACAAUCGUCACGCUUGCAGUUGGGAUGGCAGCGUCUCAUCGACGCGAGCAGGUGGCGAGCGCCGGUGGGAGCGAGUCCUCUCUCUCUCUCUCUCUCUCUCUCUCUCUCUCUCUCUCUCUCUCUCUCUCUCUCUCUCCGUGAGUCUCACGGUGGCGAUGCUGCCGCAUCAGAAGACCGCGGCGGUGGGGACGGUGCCUCACAGAAGAUCGCGGCGGUGGACCACAAGACCUUCCCCAUCGAGCAGCUUCGAUCCGGCCAUGAUGAGCGGUGGCGCGUGACCAUUUUUAGGCAGCACACUUAGCGGUGGCCACGGGGCAAUUUUUGCGUACAGCAAGGUCUCCACUCAUGAGAAUUGAGGUCGUCAAGCCAUGGAAUGAUGGUGUCUCCAAGGCCACAUGCUCAGGUUCAACACAGUGCUGUCUGCCAUCUUCAUGGCUCGGUCACGGAGGCUCUGUCAGCAAGCAUGUUCUGUGAGGAAUAUUCACAUCGCCGAUGUGGUAGUAUCGUAGAAAAGUUCAGUUUUUUCUUGCUUCCUUUGCAACCAACUGUUUCUGCUACACAUUUUAUGUUUACAGUGGCUUAUUGGCAAGAAAAGAUACACAUUUUGCUCCCGGACAUAGGUUAAUUGAUAUCAACGUGAAGGAUAGGUAGGUCAUGUCUAGACUAUCUAUUUACAUCAGCAACACUUGAGUGUCAUAUUCACAAAUAUGGCUUGCCUUUUUCAUUCUCCAUUACUCAAGGCUUCAAAUUGCUUUGUAAUUGUCGUAGAUCAUUUUCCCUUGCAAAAAUAAUCUUGGCAGAUUGUUCCAUUUGUUUUCCCAACAUAUAUCAUUUGCUGCAGUAAUUGCUCAUAGACAUUUUGUCAUGCUCUUGACAUGUUCAAACGCUAACCAAAUUUAUGGACUUUAUUCUAUGCACUUUUGACCAAAACUGGAGGAUGGAUAGUGUAGCUGGAGGAUGAAAGCAUGUACAUGGAGUGAAAACUCAAGCAGGUAUUUUGCUUCAAUAUCGCCAUGUCGAGUUCGUCAUCAGCCGAGCUUUCUUGGAUGCCACUAGGUUCAAACAAACCACUGUUUUCGUUAUUGUUUGAGUUUAAAAGGUGCUGGUCAUUAUCUCCAAGAUAGUUUGUCUGUAAAUAAAUCAUUGACAAACAAUCUCAUGUACUGAUGCUCUUACUAUUUACACUGGACAUGGACAGACAAUCUCCUGGUCAGAUUGCCUCUUCUAUUUCUUUGUCCUGACAAGUUUAAGUUGGAAAUUUGGGUGUUAUUAUAAGAAACGGAAUCUAGCAGGAUCACUGAGGUGUGGCUUGGUGAAGUGAAAGAAAAUCCCUAUCCUUGGUUGUUUCCGGUGUUCCAAAAGAUUCUCUUACAUUCUUGAUGUUUAAAGCCUUUUCUAUAUCAGACAGGAUUUAUUUCUCACUGGACCUAACUAGAAGAUGCAGUCCUCAAUGAAAACCGUGGUCCAGCUCGCCUUGGGGAUUAUCCAUUGGAGCCAGCUGUGCAGAAUCCUCGAUAUUUUGAUGGAAAUGCCAUUCUUUGUGAUGCAGCCUGGGAGAACCAAUAGAUCCAUCGACGCAACAAGCUGGAAUUGUGUCAGCAUUCAGGGCGAUAACAAUCAUCACUUCCGGCAGCUUUCAUGUAUCGCCGAUAUCUCCACUGGCAUCUUCACCGUCCUAGGAUGAGGCUUUUCUGCUUAUUCAUGCAACCAUCUUGGAAUACUCUUUUUUAUAUACAGGAACUUCAUUUCCACA